rnacentral:rRNA from 1 species
UACAGAGGUCUCAAGCGUUGUUCGGAUUCAUUGGGCGUAAAGGGUGCGUAGGUGGCGCCAUAAGUCGGGUGUGAAAUCUCGGAGCUUAACUCCGAAACUGCAUUCGAUACUGAGAAGCUUGAGUCCGGGAGAGGUGAGUGGAACUGCGAGUGUAGAGGUGAAAUUCGUAGAUAUUCGCAAGAACACCAGUGGCGAAGGCGGCUCACUGGCCCGGUACUGACGCUGAGGUGCGAAAGCGUGGGGAGCAAACAGG